CCUACGGGGGGCAGCAGUGAGGAAUAUUGGUCAAUGGACGAGAGUCUGAACCAGCCAAGUAGCGUGAAGGAUGACUGCCCUAUGGGUUGUAAACUUCUUUUAUAUGGGAAUAAAAUGUUCCACGUGUGGGAUUUUGUAUGUACCAUAUGAAUAAGGAUCGGCUAACUCCGUGCCAGCAGCCGCGGUAAUACGGAGGAUCCGAGCGUUAUCCGGAGUUAUUGGGUUUAAAGGGAGCGUAGGUGGAUUGUUAAGUCAGUUGUGAAAGUUUGCGGCUCAACCGUAAAAUUGCAGUUGAAACUGGCAGUCUUGAGGACAGUAGAGGUGGGCGGAAUUCGUGGUGUAGCGGUGAAAUGCUUAGAUAUCACGAAGAACUCCGAUUGCGAAGGCAGUUCACUGGACUGCAACUGACACUGAGGCUCGAAAGUGUGGGUAUCAAACAGGAUUAGAUACCCUAGUAGUC
rnacentral:rRNA from 1 species